rnacentral:rRNA from 1 species
GAGCUGGGUUUAGAACGUCGUGAGACAGUUCGGUCCCUAUCUGCCGUGGGCGCUGGAGAACUGAGGGGGGCUGCUCCUAGUACGAGAGGACCGGAGUGGACGCAUCACUGGUGUUCGGGUUGUCAUGCCAAUGGCACUGCCCGGUAGCUAAAUGCGGAAGAGAUAAGUGCUGAAAGCAUCUAAGCACGAAACUUGCCCCGAGAUGAGUUCUCCCUGAGACUAUAAGUCUCCUGAAGGAACGUUGAAGACGACGACGUUGAUAGGCCGGGUGUGUAAGCGCAGCGAUGCGUUGAGCUAACCGGUACUAAUGAACCGUGAGGCUUAACCUUAC